ensembl:lncRNA
AUCUUGUAUCAUCACUUCUGUUAUGGAAAUAUUUGUUGGAAGAACACGCCCACAAUAUUUUACAACUAAUAACUAACUUCUCUUGAAAUUCAAAACUAUUUGAGGGUAUGAUAUUUUUGUAAUGGUUAUCUUUCGUGGCGAGGUACUAUAAACUAAACCGCUAAGUAAAAAUGCGAAACUAACAACGUUUUUAGGGAAUUGAAUCCAAAUACUGUAAAUUAGGUGAUGUAGCAGAGGAAGGACCACGUCUCUCUACUCUCAUCCUUUGUGUGUCCUGACCAAUCACCGUUCAGAUACGAGUUUGCUGGUUGCUUAUUGGUUGCGAACUAGGAAGAUGCUACCGCCAUGGAUACGAGGCUGAGCCAAAUUGAUGAUGUCUAGGUGAUGUUUAAACACUGAGCGGUGUGCCCUAUUAAAUAACCCAGCUGUCAUUCGCUUGGGUUGCGUGUUUUCAAUCGUAGCUGACGCGUCAAGAUAUUUGGAUUACGUUAUUGGAACGACCAUUUCUAGACCCUCUUAAACCGUCUGCUGUGAUUUCGGGCCCACGGUUACCGUUCCUACGAGUCACUCCCUCGGUGGUGGAGAUGUAGCUUCGGCUUGCAACACCGGAGCAACUGUCAUAGUAGCCGCUGGCUGAGUACCGGAGGAUGCUGGAGGGCUGAGGGAUGGCAGAGGUCGAGGCUACGUACGCCGACUUCAUCGCAUCGGGGCGCACAGGCCGGAGGAACGCCAUGCACGACAUCCUGCAGAGCCCCAGCGACCCGCAGGGGGGCCAGCUGCCCCUCAGCCUGUCCCUGUCCCAGCUGCACAUACACACUGCCCGCAGAGAUGGGGGAGAUGCUGAGGACAGCCAGGGCUCCUCAACGUCGGUCCAGAGAGAGAUGGCCCAGAGGAACAGCUAACACACACCUCCCUCUCCACUGCUGUAUGCAUGGUGGCUGCUGUGUGUGUGUGUGUGUGUGUGUGUGUGUGUGUGUGUGUGUGUGUGUGUGUGUGUGUGUGUGUGUGUGUGUGUGUGUGUGUGUGUGUGUGUGUGUGUGUGCGAUGAUAUGUGUGUGUGUGUGUGUGUGUGUGUGGGUGCGUGUGUGUGUGUGUUAGUGUGGAUGUGUGGGAGGCAGUGAAAGGACUUGAGGCUAGCCAAGUAAGGCUAGCCUAGGCCGGCAGUAAGGUUAGCCUCACCGCCCUUACCCAUGUGCCCAUGAGAAGGACCUUAAUGUCCCAGGAUAUGACCUGCUGAGCGUCUCUGCCCGUCUAGUGUAACGGAGAGCACCCUGAGGAUGUUUAUGUCUGGAAGAUUCUCUGAACUCCAGCGAAGGACCAGGGAGGUUCAUGCAACGUUUGAACUCACUAACUGAUUUUUCUCCGAUGCAACAUGGAUAAAGAGGUAGAAACAUGGGAUAAAUAGCUUUUCAUUGCUUAAUAAUAACAAUACACAAACACACACACUUAUAAUCAAAAUAAACUUCACCCCCCCCACCCCUCAGACACACACACACACACACACACACACACACACACACACACACACACACACACACACACACACACACACACACACACACACACACACACACACACACACUCAGUCAUCAUCUCACACUCAAAUAUACCCCACCACAAAUAAUCACACCAAACAUGGCAAUUGAGAAUAUCUGAAAAACAGGAAGUGCUUAAAUGUACUGUUAAUUAUUCAACAAUAAUAUGCAUAGGCUUAUUCUGUAAAAGGCAGAACUGUAACAAUACCGUUUCUCAACUGCAAGCAUCAUAUCGUAGACAUAGGAGUCAUUUAGCUACACAUCUCGUGUAACAAUUAAUCUAUAUUAUGUGACACGAGCAAGCGACUGAUGUUCUUGAAGGGGCCGUGCUUUAACUUUGAACUAAAGACUGCAAGAGAGAUUGCUUUUUAAGAGUUACUUAUUUUUUUAUGUAUCAAUCUUUCUCCAAAAGAGUAUGUAGCAACGCAAUAUCCGGUUGAACUGAAAGACUUCCCUGGACCUGCCUGUGGUUGUGUCACAUUAAUAAUAAUGAUAUUAAUAAUGAUAAUUUGAUGACGAUGAUGAUGAUGAUGAUGAUGAUGAUGAUGAUAGUAUCUAUGGAUAUCUUUUUGAGCACCUUUUCCCGGGGCACGGUACACUUUACAAAACAGAAAAAGGGGAAAAUAUCUAAAUAUCUUCAACAGUUUUUUUUAUGUUUACGUCAUUUGUCCCUGAAACUACCCAGCGAAGGAAGGCCAUUUUAGGUCUGUUGCCCUUUCCACACAACGCUGAAUAAAUGUAAAAACACAGUUUUCACCACGCAUGCCAUAAUUACCAUACUCUUAAUAUUAUUCUCCACUGUAUCAUGGGCCCCGGGUACACUUGUUGUUUCAAUGUGUUUCAACGUUUGUGAUUGGUUCACAAAAGCCUUGUUGAACCGCGAGUGUAACCUUAUGGACAUUGUUAUUUCUGAUGUACUGUGACAUUUUUGCGCUUUCUUUCUUGCCUUAGAAUUUACCGUCUUCCUUAAAAAGUGAAAUUGUCACACGUAACACAUUUUCUUUGUGUUCAUAGUAAACAAUACAUUUCAAAUGUCAAUUAAAAUAUUUCCGCUUUUGGACUUGUUGCUUAUGUACUACAUAUUUAAGCUAUUAACAAUGAUGCAUGUACAAAAUGACUGCAUGCUUUUUUAUCAAUCUGUCCUUGUGUUUGUCUGAGCUUUCCCGGGUUUCAUUCACUUUUCUAUUUAUUGUGUUAAAAAAAAAACAUUGAAUAAAAGGUGGAGGACUGUUAAAGGAGAAUAUUUGAUCAUGCUUGUUAUUUUUCUACCUUUAUGAUAUUUUUUCCAACAGAUGUCGCUGUCGAAGACUAUACAAACCAUGGAUUGUUUCAAAUGGUCAUUGUUAAAAUUGGUCUCCCG